GGGCGCACAGUGACUUAGUGGUUAGCACGUUCGCCUCAUACCUCCAGGGUCGGGGGUUCGAGUCCCACCGUGGCCC